UUUCAAUUUGUUCCUUUUAUUCUGUCUGCAAUUUUUAAUCUGUGGUUAUGCAUCAAUUUCUCUGCUUCUUCUUUAUAAAUCUUGCAGGUCAGGACAACACACUUAUCGGGGCAAUGUUGGGAUGUUUAGGCUUGGGUGGAGACAUGGACUUUUGGAAGAGAUGUUGGGACCCGUUACUGGAAUACAAGAUUUGGAACAAAAGUGGUUGACAAUGCUAGAGUCGAAAGCAAGUGUGAAAUUCACAUUGAAAAUGACAGGAGAGGGUUGCGCAUGAUCUGUAGGUUUAAUCAACCUCGCUGUUUUCGUUAGAAUCACAAUUAAAGCGUUAACGUAUAAGGAGAACUCCCAUUGCAUCAACUCGAACAGACAUUCUUCUACUUAGUUGCUUAGCUGCUGAAA